rnacentral:rRNA from 1 species
GCUGGCGGCGCGCUUACACAUGCAAGUCGAACGAGAAAGUUCCCUUCGGGGGGCGAGUAAAGUGGCGGACGGGUGAGUAACACGUGGGUAAUCUGCCCUUGAGUGGGGAAUAACUUUGGGAAACCGAAGCUAAUACCGCAUACGAUCCUUCGGGAUGAAAGCUUUAUGCGCUCAAGGAUGAGCCCGCGGUCGAUUAGCUAGUUGGUGGGGUAAUGGCUCACCAAGGCUACGAUCGAUAGCCGGCCUGAGAGGGCACACGGCCACACUGGCACUGAGACACGGGCCAGACUCCUACGGGAGGCAGCAGUGGGGAAUCUUGGUCAAUGGGGGAAACCCUGAACCAGCGACGCCGCGUGACCGAUGAAGGCCCUCGGGUCGUAAAGGUCUUUCGACGGGGACUAUAAUGAAGGUACCCGUAAAAGCAGGAGCGGCUAACUAUGUGCCAGCAGCCGCGGUAAUACAUAGGCUCCAAGCGUUGUUCGGAAUUACUGGGCGUAAAGCGAGUGUAGGCUGUCCGUCAAGUCGAUUGUGAAAUCUCCCGGCUCAACUGGGAGGGUGCGGUCGAAACUGACGGACUAGAGUUCGGGAGAGGAGAGUGGAAUUCCUGGUGUAGCGGUGAAAUGCGUAGAUAUCAGAGGAACACCGGCGGUGAAGACGGCUCUCUGGACCGAUGACUGACGCUGA